rnacentral:rRNA from 1 species
UGAGGAAUAUUGGACAAUGGAUGGAAAUCUGAUCCAGCCAUGCCGCGUGCAGGAAGACGGCCCUAUGGGUUGUAAACUGCUUUUGUAUGGGAGCAAUAAGGACUACGUGUAGUUUGAUGAGAGUACCAUACGAAUAAGCAUCGGCUAACUCCGUGCCAGCAGCCGUGGUAAUACGGAGGAUGCGAGCGUUAUCCGGAUUUAUUGGGUUUAAAGGGUGCGUAGGCGGCGAUAUAAGUCAGUGGUGAAAUAUUUCGGCUUAACCGAGAGACUGCCAUUGAUACUGUGUUGCUAGAAUAUGGUUGCUGUGAGUGGAAUGUGUGGUGUAGCGGUGAAAUGCUUAGAUAUCACACAGAAUAUCGAUUGCGAAGGCAGCUCACAAAGCCAUUAUUGACGCUGAGGCACGAAAGUGUGGGGAUCAAACA